GGAAGGCAAGGAAGGGGAGGCAGCGGUGGAGCAGGGAACAUGGCUCCUUGUUGAGCUGUGGGUUUGUGGGAUCUUCCUGGGCCUGCUAUCAUCGCCCCACAGCAAUCCGUCCAGAAGAGCCACCAGGACCUGCAGGAUGUUUUCUUAGUGAUUUACACAGGGCUGAGCUAUGCUGGGAUGGGGACUGCACCAGCCUGACCACGGGGAUGUAGGUGGAGAGGGAAGAAGAGAGUGAAAUUUUUUAAAUGCCCAGGACUUAGUGCUGGUGGCUUUCCCCUCUGUUUUUGGAGGGAGCAGUGACGUUGGGUCCCCGGGACUCUCACCUGAAGUAAAAGAUCCCUGACAGCACCAGGCAGCAAAUCGAUGCCGAAUGUCUCCAGUGGCUGACAGAGCCCGUACUGCACGAGUAAGGGACAGACACCCUCGUGGGCCCAGACCCGUGGGACUACUUUCUGAUGGGAGAAGGAUGAGACCCGACUCCGUAGCCAUUACUCACACCAAGCAGUACUCGCUCAGUCUCUGCGGGUCUAGCCUCCGUGUCCAUUCCCUCAUGGUGCUCCCACACGGUGCCUUGGCAGAGGCUUUGCAGGCACUCAGUGUGACGAGGAUGGCAGGAAGGAGAGGAUCGGUGCUCCGACACAGCAGCCAUUUUAAGCUGCUUCUUCCACAGCUGGAAAUCAUUGCGAUAGCAUCAGCUGCCAAGGAGAGUUAUGAGAGUUGGCAGGAUUCAGAGGGAAAGAGGUAGCAGCUAAAUCACUUGUGAAUAGCAAGCGCUUCAAAGGCAGAGCGCGGGGCCCCGGCUGGUGGGCGGGUGCUGUGCCGGGACGCAUCCGGACCCAGCAAGGGUGCUGGGGGCAGCACGAGGCUCCGAGCAGGGUGAACGGCACCCGCAGGGCCUGACCUGCUCUUUGUGGCCCCAACAGCAUGUCCCCAGCCACAGGCAGCUGGGACACCUCGCAGCUGGAGCUGAUGCAUUAUUCAGCAAGGAAAUAAGUGCUCUGCAACCCCACCGCAAAAAAAACACUCUAUAGUGCAAGGAUAGGAAGCAUACAAUAUAUUCCUCUCCAAAUUAAUUGCUAUUAUUUUGAUUAAAACACAUUAUCAUAUAAAUAUUUGAUUAAGAAUGUGAUUAAAUCUUUCUUGCUUAUGAACUGUGACAACUUUAAAGUCUAACCUUUUAUAGCUUGGCACCACAUCAUUAUUUUGCUCAUUAGCUACGUUUAAUAAUUCGAUCUCAUAAUAUGCUUUGCCAUUUGGAACCUGCCUUUGUGUGCCAAGUUCAAAUCGAUGCUGUUAGUUAUUUGUGCCACUGCAGAUAAUUAAACAAAAAUUAAAAGCUA